rnacentral:tRNA from 1 species
AAGAUUUUAAGUUAAAAAAACUAGUAACCUUCAAAGUUAUUUAUAAAAGAAAUAUCUUUUAAAUCUUA